GACGAACGCUGGCGGCGUGCUUAACACAUGCAAGUCGAACGGAAAGGCCCUGCUUUUGUGGGGUGCUCGAGUGGCGAACGGGUGAGUAACACGUGAGUAACCUGCCCUUGACUUUGGGAUAACUUCAGGAAACUGGGGCUAAUACCGGAUAGGAGCUCCUGCUGCAUGGUGGGGGUUGGAAAGUUUCGGCGGUUGGGGAUGGACUCGCGGCUUAUCAGCUUGUUGGUGGGGUAGUGGCUUACCAAGGCUUUGACGGGUAGCCGGCCUGAGUGGGUGACCGGCCACAUUGGGACUGAGACACGGCCGAGACUCCUCCGGGAGGCAGCAGUGGGGAAUAGGGCAGAAUGGGGGGAAGCCUGAUGCAGCAACGCCGCGUGCGGGAGGACGGCCGUCGGGUUGUAAACCGCUUUCGCCUGUGACGAAGCGUGAGUGACGGUAAUGGGUAGAGGAGCACCGGCUAACUACGUG
rnacentral:rRNA from 1 species